AUGGACCAAUCCAUCCCUUUUCCCUGUGCAUAUGCAUCGAACUCAGAUGAUGAUGGUCCCGAUGAAGAAGUUGACGAGGAGGGGUUCACGCCGAAGGAGGCCCAAGCAUUUAAGAAGGUAUUUAGGCGGGAUCAGAAGACACCAUUGUUCAAGGAUCUUAGUCUCGCAGAUGAAGCCAUUGUGGAUGGUGGCAAAUGUAUAUCUCGUGGAGGUAGAGCAAGUUCUCAC
rnacentral:rRNA from 1 species